rnacentral:rRNA from 1 species
AGCAGUAGCCGCGGUAAUACGUAGGUGGCAAGCGUUGUCCGGAAUUAUUGGGCGUAAAGGGCUCGCAGGCGGUUUCUUAAGUCUGAUGUGAAAGCCCCCGGCUCAACCGGGGAGGGUCAUUGGAAACUGGGAAACUUGAGUGCAGAAGAGGAGAGUGGAAUUCCACGUGUAGCGGUGAAAUGCGUAGAGAUGUGGAGGAACACCAGUGGCGAAGGCGGCUUUUUGGCCUGUAACUGACACUGAGGCGCGAAAGCGUGGGGAGCAAACAGGAUUAGAUACCCCCGUAGUCCCUGUCUCUUAUAU